rnacentral:rRNA from 1 species
CCGCAUAACGUCGCAAGACCAAAGUGGGGGACCUUCGGGCCUCAUGCCAUCAGAUGUGCCCAGAUGGGAUUAGCUAGUAGGUGGGGUAAAGGCUCACCUAGGCGACGAUCCCUAGCUGGUCUGAGAGGAUGACCAGCCACACUGGAACUGAGACACGGUCCAGACUCCUACGGGAGGCAGCAGUGGGGAAUAUUGCACAAUGGGCGCAAGCCUGAUGCAGCCAUGCCGCGUGUAUGAAGAAGGCCUUCGGGUUGUAAAGUACUUUCAGCGGGGAGGAAGGCAUUAAGGUUAAUAACCUUGGUGAUUGACGUUACCCUCUUUNNUNAGCACCGGCUAACUCCGUGCCAGCAGCCGCGGUAAUACGGAGGGUGCAAGCGUUAAUCGGAAUUACUGGGCGUAAAGCGCACGCAGGCGGUCUGUUAAGUCAGAUGUGAAAUCCCCGGGCUCAACCUGGGAACUGCAUUUGAAACUGGCAGGCUUGAGUCUUGUAGAGGGGGGUAGAAUUCCAGGUGUAGCGGUGAAAUGCGUANAGAUCUGGAGGAAUACCGGUGGCGAAGGCGGCCCCCUGGACAAAAGACUGACGCUC